GGAAAGGUGGCAGAGUGGUCGAAUGCGCCGGACUCGAAAUCCGGUGUACAGUUAUGCUGUACCGUGGGUUCGAAUCCCACCCUUUCCGCCA
rnacentral:tRNA from 13 species